CACGUAGGGUGCGAGCGUUGUCCGGAAUUAUUGGGCGUAAAGAGCUCGUAGGCGGUGUGUCGCGUCGGCCGUGAAAACCUGCAGCUUAACUGUGGGCGUGCGGUCGAUACGGGCAUCACUGGAGUUCGGCAGGGGAGACUGGAAUUCCUGGUGUAGCGGUGAAAUGCGCAGAUAUCAGGAGGAACACCGGUGGCGAAGGCGGGUCUUGGGCAACAACUGACGCUGAGGAGCGAAAGCGUGGGGAGCGAACAGG
rnacentral:rRNA from 1 species